UAGUAACGGCGAGUGAAGAGGAAAAGCUCAAAUUUUGAAUCUGGUGUCUUUGACUCCCGAGUUGUAAUUCUAGAGAAGUGUUUUCCGCGUUGGACCGUGUACAAGUUCCCUGGAACGGGGCGCCAUAGAGGGUGAGAAUCCCGUAUAUGCCACGGACUACCAAUGCUCUGUGAUACACUCUCAACGAGUCGAGUUGUUUGGGAAUGCAGCUCAAAAUGGGUGGUAAAUUCCAUCUAAAGCUAAAUAUUGGCGAGAGACCGAUAGCGAACAAGUACCGUGAGGGAAAGAUGAAAAGCACUUUGGAAAGAGAGUGAAACAGUACGUGAAAUUGUUGAAAGGGAAGCGUUUGAAGUCAGUCACGUCUGUCGGAAUUCAGCCUGGCUUCUGCCUGGUGUACUUUCCGUCCGACGGGUCAGCAUCAAUUUCGACCGAGGGAAAAAGACGUGAGGAAUGUGGCUGUCUUCGGGCAGUGUUAUAGUCUCGUGUUGUAUGUCUCGGUUGGGAUUGAGGAACGCAGCGCGCCUAUUGGCCGGGGGUUCGCGCCCCUCGGUACGCGCUUAGGA
rnacentral:rRNA from 1 species